rnacentral:tRNA from 1 species
GGUAAAAUGGCUGAGUGUUUAAGCGGUGGAUUGUAGCCCCACGUAGAGAGGUUUAAUUCCUCUUUUUACCA